CCUGCCGGCGACCGGCGCACGGGUGAGUAACACGUAUGCGACCUGCCCCCCGCAGGGGGAUAACCGGGAGAAAUCCGACUAAUACCGCGUAACGCCGCGGACCUGCAUGGGGUCUGCGGCCAAAGGAAGCGAUUCCGGCGGGGGAUGGGCAUGCGGCGCAUUAGCUAGUCGGCGGGGUAACGGCCCACCGAGGCGACGAUGCGUAGGGGGUUCUGAGAGGAAGGUCCCCCCACACUGGUACUGAGACACGGACCAGACUCCUACGGGAGGCAGCAG
rnacentral:rRNA from 1 species